rnacentral:rRNA from 1 species
UACGGGAGGCAGCAGUGAGGAAUAUUGGUCAAUGGGCGCAAGCCUGAACCAGCCAUGCCGCGUGAAGGAAUAAGGCCCUAUGGGUCGUAAACUUCUUUUGUGGUGGAGCAAUAAGGUGUACGUGUACACCGAUGAGAGUACAUCACGAAUAAGCAUCGGCUAACUCCGUGCCAGCAGCCGCGGUAAU